rnacentral:rRNA from 1 species
UACGGGGGGGGCAAGCGUUGUUCGGAAUUACUGGGCGUAAAGGGCUCGUAGGCGGCCAACUAAGUCAGACGUGAAAUCCCCAGGCUCAACCUGGGAACUGCGUCUGAUACUGGAUGGCUUGAGGUUGGGAGAGGGAUGCGGAAUUCCAGGUGUAGCGGUGAAAUGCGUAGAUAUCUGGAGGAACACCGGUGGCGAAGGCGGCAUCCUGGACCAAUUCUGACGCUGAGGAGCGAAAGCCAGGGGAGCAAACGGG